rnacentral:tRNA from 1 species
ACUUGAAUAGUUUAAAGAAAAUUCUGAUUUGUGGUGUCAGGGAUGUAAUAGGUUACUUCAGGUA